rnacentral:rRNA from 1 species
UACGAAGGGGGCUAGCGUUGUUCGGAUUUACUGGGCGUAAAGCGCACGUAGGCGGAUCGUUAAGUCAGGGGUGAAAUCCUGGAGCUCAACUCCAGAACUGCCUUUGAUACUGGCGAUCUCGAGUCCGGAAGAGGUGAGUGGAACUCCUAGUGUAGAGGUGGAAUUCGUAGAUAUUAGGAAGAACACCAGUGGCGAAGGCGGCUCACUGGUCCGGAACUGACGCUGAGGUGCGAAAGCGUGGGGAGCAAAGCAGGG